GCUCCAGCCCUAAAUGUUGUAGGUUUUUAAAAUAACUUUGUUACUUUGAGUCAUUUCCCCUCAGUCUCUCUGACUGGAUCGCAAAGUCAAUGGAGCAGAAGUUCUGUUACUUCGGUAAUAUUGCCUUAAUUUUAAGAUUAGUAAUGCUGUUUACACCAAAUUCCUACCCUACCUACAUGAUGUUACAUAACUU